rnacentral:rRNA from 1 species
AUUGAACGCUGGCGGCAGGCCUAACACAUGCAAGUCGAACGGUAACAGGAAACAGCUUGCUGUUUCGCUGACGAGUGGCGGACGGGUGAGUAAUGUCUGGGAAACUGCCUGAUGGAGGGGGAUAACUACUGGAAACGGUAGCUAAUACCGCAUAACGUCGCAAGACCAAAGAGGGGGACCCUCGGGCCUCUUGCCAUCGGAUGUGCCCAGAUGGGAUUAGCUUGUUGGUGGGGUAACGGCUCACCAAGGCGACGAUCCCUAGCUGGUCUGAGAGGAUGACCAGCCACACUGGAACUGAGACACGGUCCAGACUCCUACGUGAGGCAGCAGUGGGGAAUAUUGCACAAUGGGCGCAAGCCUGAUGCAGCCAUGCCGCGUGUAUGAAGAAGGCCUUCGGGUUGUAAAGUACUUUCAGCGGGGAGGAAGGGAGUAAAGUUAAUACCUUUGCUCAUUGACGUUACCCGCAGAAGAAGCACCGGCUAACUCCGUG